UUUCUCUUACUAAGUUUUAUGGAACUCACUCUUUUCCUGUUGGGACCUCCCAAAUGAUGUAGAGAUGACUCGCCCGCAAUGUUGGCCCUUGAGACUUACCUCGAUCCAUUCUUGUGUUCCUGGAGUAUUUAUGAGUGCUUAUUUUUUUCGCACUCUAAUGAACAAUAAUUUUUGUAAUUAACUAACUUUUGUACAUAUAUCUAUUCAAUGACCCCUUGU
rnacentral:lncRNA from 1 species